rnacentral:lncRNA from 1 species
GCCUUUGUUGUUGCGUGUUGCCUUUGUUUUGCAGGUGUCAGACGCGUGGAUGGCCGGUGAUAGGUGAGCCUCGAGCGGUGGCGGCGUGCGGCGCACCUAGGGUUUUUUCUUUUCUGUUUAUUUUUUAUUCUGUUGGGCUUUGGGCUACUAGGGUUUUUUUAUUUAUUGGGCAUUUGGGCUUGUAAUUUUUUUGGACUAUGGACUGUUUAUUUUUUUAUUUUAGGUUUUAUUUAUUUGGUUUUGGGCCUGGGAAAAAAUGGCCUAUUACAAGAAGUUUAUUUAAUUUUUUAUUUUAACAAAAAUAAACAUUAAAUUUUGUCAUUUUAUAUAGAUUUAUUAUAUUUAUAUCUUCUUUGAUUUCUAUGUUAUACAGAAAUAUUUUUUUUACAUAAAUUAAUUAUAUUUAUAUUUAAGUAUAUGUGUUUGAAGAUGAAAUUGAU